rnacentral:rRNA from 1 species
AUGCACGCUGGCGGCGUGCCUAAUACAUGCAAGUCGAGCGAACGGACGAGAAGCUUGCUUCUCUGAUGUUAGCGGCGGACGGGUGAGUAACACGUGGAUAACCUACCUAUAAGACUGGGAUAACUUCGGGAAACCGGAGCUAAUACCGGAUGAUAUUUUGAACCGCACGGUUCAAAAGUGAAAGACGGUCUUGCUGUCACUUAUAGAUGGAUCCGCGCUGCAUUAGCUAGUUGGUAAGGUAACGGCUUACCAAGGCAACGAUGCAUAGCCGACCUGAGAGGGUGAUCGGCCACACUGGAACUGAGACACGGUCCAGACUCCUACGGGAGGCAGCAGUAGGGAAUCUUCCGCAAUGGGCGAAAGCCUGACGGAGCAACGCCGCGUGAGUGAUGAAGGUCUUCGGAUCGUAAAACUCUGUUAUUAGGGAAGAACAUAUGUGUAAGUAACUGUGCACAUCUUGACGGUACCUAAUCAGAAAGCCACGGCUAACUACGUG